rnacentral:rRNA from 1 species
UACAGAGACUGCAAGCGUUAUCCGGAUUCACUGGGCGUAAAGGGUGCGCAGGCGGCCGUGUGUGUGAGGCGUGAAAGCCUGGAGCUUAACUCCAGAAUUGCACCUCAAACUACACGGCUAGAGCAUUGGAGAGGGUAGCAGAAUUCACGGUGUAGCAGUGAAAUGCGUAGAUAUCGUGAGGAAUACCAGAGGCGAAGGCGGCUACCUGGACAAUUGCUGACGCUCAGGCACGAAAGCGUGGGGAGCAAAAGGG